rnacentral:rRNA from 1 species
UGGGGAAUCUUGCGCAAUGGACGACAGUCUGACGCAGCGACGCCGCGUGGGGGAAGAAGGCUUUCGGGUUGUAAACCCCUUUCAGGAAGGACGAAGCCACUCGGGUUAAUAGCCCAGAGGGUGACGGUACUUCCAGAAGAAGCCCCGGCUAACUACGUGCCAGCAGCCGCGGUAAUACGUAGGGGGCAAGCGUUGUCCGGAUUUAUUGGGCGUAAAGAGCGUGUAGGCGGUUCGGUAGGUCCGUUGUGAAAACUCAAGGCUCAACCUUGAGACGCCGAUGGAAACCCUCGAACUAGAGUCCGGAAGAGGAGAGUGGAAUUCCUGGUGUAGCGGUGAAAUGCGCAGAUAUCAGGAAGAACACCCGUGGCUAAGGCGGCUCUCUAGUACGGUACUGACGCUGAGACGCGAAAGCGUGGGGAGCGAACAGGAUUAGAUACCCCCGUAGUCC